rnacentral:rRNA from 1 species
AGAGUUUGAUCAUGGCUCAGGAUAAACGCUGGCGGCGCACAUAAGACAUGCAAGUCGAACGGAAGUCGUUGUAAUGAAAUGGAAAUGGACAGAGAACUUGUUCGAAGAAAGUUGAAGUAGACUUACAACAAUGGCUUUAGUGGCGGACUGGUGAGUAACGCGUAAGGAACCUGCCUUUUAGAGGGGAAUAACAAUGAGAAAUCAUUGCUAAUACCGCAUAUGCCGAGAGAAUCACAUGGUACAAUCGGGAAAGGAGCAAUCCGCUAAAAGAUGGCCUUGCGUCUGAUUAGAUAGUUGGUGGGGUAACGGCCUACCAAGUCGACGAUCAGUAGCCGGACUGAGAGGUUGAACGGCCACAUUGGGACUGAGAUACGGCCCAGACUCCUACGGGAGGCAGCAGUCGGGAAUAUUGCGCAAUGGAGGAAACUCUGACGCAGUGACGCCGCGUAUAGGAAGAAGGUUUUCGGAUUGUAACUAUUGUCGUUAGGGAAGAAAAGGACAGUACCUAAGGAGGAAGCUCC